CCCCUCCACCAUACCACCCUGAAUUCACUCAAUCUCGUCUGAUCUCAGAAGCUAAGCAGGGUCGGGCCUGGUUAGUACAUGGAUGGGAAAAUUUCUUAAUUUUAAUUUCUUCAAGAUGC
rnacentral:rRNA from 1 species